rnacentral:rRNA from 1 species
AUACGUAGGGAGCAAGCGUUGUCCGGAAUUACUGGGCGUAAAGGGCGUGUAGGCGGCCGAUCAAGUCAGGUGUGAAAUUUCAGGGCUCAACCCUGAGCGUGCACUUGAAACUGGUUGGCUUGAGUGCAGAAGAGGAAAGUGGAAUUCCCAGUGUAGCGGUGAAAUGCGUAGACAUUGGGAGGAACACCAGUGGCGAAGGCGACUUUCUGGUCUGUAACUGACGCUGAGGCGCGAAAGCUAGGGGAGCGAACAGGAUUAGAUACCCUGGUAGUCCUAGCCGUAAACGAUGGGUACUAGGUGUAGGGGGUUUAGACGCCCUCUGUGCCGCAGUUAACACAUUAAGUACCCCGCCUGGGGAGUACGGCCGCAAGGCUGAAACUCAAAUGAAUUGACGGGG